AAACUUUCAACAACGGAUCUCUUGGUUCUGGCAACGAUGAAGAACGCAGCGAAAUGCGAUAAGUAAUGCGAAUUGCAGAAUUCCGCGAGUCAUCGAAUCUUUGAACGCACAUUGCGCCCGCUGGCUCUCCAGCGGGCAUGCCUGUCCGAGCGUCAUAU
rnacentral:rRNA from 1 species